CUCAGUUUGUACAGUUUGUACAGCUACUUUGUAAACAGAAUAAAAUCAGAUCCAGGUUUGUUUAAUCUGGAUGUGAUGCGUGUUCUAGCAAACAAAUUGAUGAGUGUAGAUUAAAAUGUAAAUAUAUACAUUAUGUGAAGGUGUGAAUUUUUUAUGAUUAUUUACAGAUAGCAACAAGAGGCGACACAGAAUUCGCAAGGUCAUCUUAGUUGAGAAGAAACGCUUGGCGGCUGCUGUUGACGACUACAACAAGCUUGCUGAACCAACAAAGCAAAUCGUAUCCAGUGAUGCCCUCAUCCAGACCGACGUUUGGCCCUGGCAGAGCACAAGUGAACCUGCUGCUCAACUCCAGACAAAGAGAAAGGUCUUUGAGAAUGUGAUGGCUGUGAGGCGCCUGAGAGAGGAGGAGAUGAUCCUUUGCAGGGAGAUGCGGCAUCACUGGACAGUGUUGCGAAUGCGAUCUGUGGUGUUGGGGACAAUCUCCUCAGACUCCUCCCUUGUUGGCAUGUUGGAGGAUGCACAGAAGGGACUCCAUAGCCUGGUUUUAAAAAAACAAAGUGAACUGAAAGCUGAAAUGCUCAAAGUAAAGGACAUGUACAAGAGAAUCCUCAGCCACCAACCACUCCUGGAAAUGGACUCGGAGGAGGAGGAAGACAUUCCAGAUGAUGCCA
ensembl:lncRNA